AACGUAGGAGACAAGCGUUAUCCGGAGUUACUGGGCGUAAAGGGCGUGCAGGCGGCCUGAUCAGUCUAUUGUGAAAGCUCCCUGGCUAAACCGGGAGAGGUCAGUAGAUACUGUCGGGCUAGAGGACGGUAGAGGCGGGUGGAAUUCCGGGUGUAGUGGGAAAAUGCGUAGAUAAUCGGAGGAACACCAGAGGCGAAGGCGACCCGCUAGGCCGUACCUGACGCUAAGACGCGACAGCAUGGGGAGCGAACGGG
rnacentral:rRNA from 1 species